UUGCUUCAGGAGCAUGUGUACUAAAGUUGGAACAAUACAGAGGGGAUUAGCAUGGCUCUUGCACAAGGAUGACAACCACAUUCCUGAAGUGUUCCACAUUGUC